UGAUGGCAGUGAUGAUUUCCUUGAUGAUGCUUUCCCUGAUGUGUAAACCAUGAGGGUCGCACAGUCACUACCUCUUCUGAUGCCAUCU
ensembl:snoRNA SNORD11B small nucleolar RNA SNORD11B